AUACGGAGGGUGCAAGCGUUACUCGGAAUCACUGGGCGUAAAGGGUGCCUAGGCGGUUUGAUAAGUCUGAUGUGAAAUCCUAUGGCUCAACCAUAGAACUGCAUUGGAAACUGUCAGACUAGAAUACUGAAGGGGCAGAUGGAAUUAGUGGUGUAGGGGUAAAAUCCGUAGAUAUCACUAGGAAUACCGAAAGCGAAAGCGAUCUGCUGGGAAGUUAUUGACGCUGAGGCACGAAAGCGUGGGGAGCAAACGGGAUUAGAUACCCUAGUAGUCC
rnacentral:rRNA from 1 species